rnacentral:rRNA from 1 species
GAUGAACGCUAGCGGGAGGCCUAAUACAUGCAAGUCGAGCGGUAGAGUGACUUCGGUUGCUUGAGAGCGGCGAACGGGUGAGUAACGCAUACACAAUCUACUUUUAAGAGGGGAAUAGCCCUGGGAAACUGGGAUUAAUGCCCCAUGGCAUCACGAGACGGCAUCGUUUUGUGAUUAAAGCUGAGGUGCUUAGAGAUGAGUGUGCGUCUGAUUAGCUAGUUGGUGCGGUAACGGCGCACCAAGGCGACGAUCAGUAGGGGGCGUGAGAGCGUGGCCCCUNACACGGGUACUGAGACACGGACCCGACUCCUACGGGAGGCAGCAGUAAGGAAUAUUGGACAAUGGGCGCAAGCCUGAUCCAGCCAUCCCGCGUGUGUGAAGAAGGCCUGGUUGUAAGCACUUAAGUACGAGGAGGAAGGUUUUAGG